UACGGAGGGUGCAAGCGUUACUCGGAAUCACUGGGCGUAAAGAGCGCGUAGGCGGGAUAGCAAGUCAGAUGUGAAAUCCUAUGGCUUAACCAUAGAACUGCAUUUGAAACUGUUGGUCUUGAGUAUCGGAGAGGCAGGCGGAAUUCCUAGUGUAGCGGUGAAAUGCGUAGAUAUUAGGAGGAACACCAGUGGCGAAGGCGGCCUGCUGGACGACAACUGACGGUGAGGCGCGAAAGCGUGGGGAGCAAACAGG
rnacentral:rRNA from 1 species